AGAAAACUGUUCGUAACUUGAAAGCGCUUCGACUUUUGAUUGUGCAAGUUAGACUAGGAAGAAAGACCAGUCAAAGAUCUACAAGAUGAUGCCCGAAUCGCUUACUAUCUCGAAGGAUUGGCUGUGAUCUGCUUCUGUCAAGCGCUACACAAGGUACUGGGUGUGGCUUAUAACCUGAGGCAGCUAUGUGUAAAGAGAAACAGUGACAGUGGUAAAAAGGUGUGACUGGAUCCAAUAAUCAGAGGUGGGGCCACGUAUGUACAGUGACAGUGGCAGUAGCAACGAGAUAUAAAAAGUGUCUGUGGCUACUGCUGAUACUUUGCUGUCACACUAUGCACUGCCACUGGGUCCCUUUUGGAGUACCUUGGAGUCGCCUCUGUCAAGAGUAGAAUACACGACAAUGCCAUGUACAGGAAGGUUGACGUUGGUGGUAGGACUUUCACAACAGUGCUCAGCUCAUGCAGUGUCAAUGUCCUAUCCAGAUCUACAUUUUUGAUAAUUUAUUGUUGUAAUUAUUGUUGUACUGUACCGGGUAUUUGAUAAUCUUGUUUUUAUUCUAUA